rnacentral:rRNA from 1 species
UUACACAGAGGAAGUUUUCGGAUGGAAUCAGUAUAACUUAGUGGCGGACGGGUGAGUAACGCGUGGGAAACCUGCCCUGUACCGGGGGAUAACGCACCGAAAGGUGCACUAAUACCGCAUAAGACCACGUUUCUGACAUGGGGAUGAGGUCAAAGGAGCAAUCCGGUGGAAGAUGGUCCCGCGUCUGAUUAGCUAGUUGGUGGGGUAACGGCCUACCAAGGCGACGAUCAGUAGCCGACCUGAGAGGGUGAUCGGCCACAUUGGAACUGAGACACGGUCCAAACUCC